UGACCUCGGAUCAGGUAGGGAUACCCGCUGAACUUAAGCAUAUCAAUAAGCGGAGGAAAAGAAACCAACAGGGAUUGCCCCAGUAACGGCGAGUGAAGCGGCAAGAGCUCAAAUUUGAAAGCUGGCUCCUUCGGGGUCCGCAUUGUAAUUUGCAGAGGAUGCUUCGGGAGCGGUCCCCAUCUAAGUGCCCUGGAACGGGACGUCAUAGAGGGUGAGAAUCCCGUAUGGGAUGGGGUGUCCGCGCCCGUGUGAAGCUCCUUCGACGAGUCGAGUUGUUUGGGAAUGCAGCUCUAAAUGGGUGGUAAAUUUCAUCUAAAGCUAAAUAUUGGCCGGAGACCGAUAGCGCACAAGUAGAGUGAUCGAAAGAUGAAAAGCACUUUGAAAAGAGAGUUAAAAAGCACGUGAAAUUGUUGAAAGGGAAGCGCUUGCGACCAGACUCGCUCGCGGGGUUCAGCCGGCAUUCGUGCCGGUGUAUUUCCCCGCGGGCGGGCCAGCGUCGGUUUGGGCGGUCGGUCAAAGGCCCUCGGAAGGUAACGCCCCUAGGGGCGUCUUAUAGCCGAGGGUGCAAUGCGACCUGCCUAGACCGAGGAACGCGCU
rnacentral:rRNA from 1 species